AUUGAACGCUGGCGGCAUGCUUUACACAUGCAAGUCGAACGGCAGCGCGGGCUUCGGCCUGGCGGCGAGUGGCGAACGGGUGAGUAAUGCAUCGGAACGUGCCCAGUAGUGGGGGAUAGCCCGGCGAAAGCCGGAUUAAUACCGCAUACGACCUGCGGGUGAAAGCGGGGGACCGAAAGGCCUCGCGCUAUUGGAGCGGCCGAUGUCGGAUUAGCUAGUUGGUGGGGUAAAGGCUUACCAAGGCGACGAUCCGUAGCUGGUCUGAGAGGACGACCAGCCACACUGGGACUGAGACACGGCCCAGACUCCUACGGGAGGCAGCAGUGGGGAAUUUUGGACAAUGGGGGCAACCCUGAUCCAGCCAUGCCGCGGGCGGGAAGAAGGCCUUCGGGUUGUAAACCGCUUUUGUUCGGGAAGAAAUCCUCUGGGCUAAUACCCCGGGGGGAUGACGGUACCGGAAGAAUAAGCACCGGCUAACUACGUG
rnacentral:rRNA from 1 species